GCCCGGGUAGCUCAAUUGGCUAGAGCGUGGGACUUUUAAUCCCAAGGUUGGGGGUUCGAGACCCCCCUCGGGCG